rnacentral:rRNA from 3 species
CGUUAAGUAGACCGCCUGGGGAGUACGGCCGCAAGGUUAAAACUCAAAUGAAUUGACGGGGGCCCGCACAAGCGGUGGAGCAUGUGGUUUAAUUCGAUGCAACGCGAAGAACCUUACCUGGUCUUGACAUCCACAGAAGAAUCCAGAGAUGGAUUUGUGCCUUCGGGAACUGUGAGACAGGUGCUGCAUGGCUGUCGUCAGCUCGUGUUGUGAAAUGUUGGGUUAAGUCCCGCAACGAGCGCAACCCUUAUCCUUUGUUGCCAGCGGUUAGGCCGGGAACUCAAAGGAGACUGCCAGUGAUAAACUGGAGGAAGGUGGGGAUGACGUCAAGUCAUCAUGGCCCUUACGACCAGGGCUACACACGUGCUACAAUGGCGCAUACAAAGAGAAGCGACCUCGCGAGAGCAAGCGGACCUCAUAAAGUGCGUCGUAGUCCGGAUUGGAGUCUGCAACUCGACUCCAUGAAGUCGGAAUCGCUAGUAAUCGUGGAUCAGAAUGCCACGGUGAAUACGUUCCCGGGCCUUGUACACACCGCCCGUCACACCAUGGGAGUGGGUUGCAAAAGAAGUAGGUAGCUUAACCUUCGGGAGGGCGCUUACCACUUUGUGAUUCAUGACUGGGGUGAAGUCGUAACAAGGUAACCGUAGGGGAACCUGCGGUUGGAUCACCUCCUUACCUUAAAGAA